AUUGAACGCUGGCGGCAGGCCUAACACAUGCAAGUCGAGCGAGCGGCGGAAGGGUGAGUAAUGUAUGGGGACCUGCCGGAUAGAGGGGGCUCACGACUGGAAACGGUAGCACAUCACGCAUACUAUUGGAUGAACCCCUUUGGGAUUAGCUAGUAGGUGAGGUACUGGCUAACCUAGGCGACGAUCCCUAGCUGGUCUGAGAGGAUGAUCAGCCACACUGGAACUGAGACACGGCCCAGACUCCUACGGGAGGCAGCAGUGGGGAAUAUUGGACAAUGGGCGCAAGCCUGAUGCAGCCAUGCCGCGUGUAUGAAGAAGGCCUUAGGGUUUUAAAGUACUUUCAGCGGGGAGGCGUUACCAGCAGAAGAAGCACCGGCUAACUCCGUGCCAGCAGCCGCGGUAAUUC
rnacentral:rRNA from 1 species